rnacentral:piRNA from 1 species
UCUCAAUNGAAUGUAACUCGGAGAGUGGC